rnacentral:rRNA from 1 species
ACACCAUGAGAGUUCGGAAAUACCCGAAGCCUGUGAGCCUAACAGUAAUGAGGCAGCAGUCGGAAGGUAGAGCCAAUGAUUGGGGUGAAGUCGUAACAAGGUACC